rnacentral:lncRNA from 10 species
UAGGUCCAGUGUGCCAGGUGGGGCAUGGCAACAGGAGUCUAGAAUUCAGGAGAAUGGAGAGGCUAUGGUUGGGCCCAGUUAGUCUUUUCAAGAUUGUGUCUUGACCACUGUCUGAAGUUAGUGGAAUUGGGUCUGGACAGAAUAUCAAAAUCCCAGCCAAGAGGCUCAGGUAUUACUCGAAAAAUCUGUGCAUUUGCCUAAGGCUAGAAAAUUUUUCCAUUCCUCAUUGGCAGGCCAACUGAUCUUCUUGGUAUACUUUAAUCCAGUCUCAGGAACAAGCAUCAGUGACUCUGGCUAAAAGCUCUAGAUAAUACUCAUUCUCCGGGCAGCAGACAAAAGACUUGGAGACAUACACAGCUGAAGGAAAUGAAAAGGCAACAAGGCUAAGAGAACAAAGAUGAGCAUUGCCACGGUCCGGAGGAUGGUGGUGGAGGAAGCCUUCUCUACGCUGGUGCCUCUAUUGGAACUUUCAGGAAAUGAACAUGAACAUUGCCCUGAGAUCAUCUUGUGAGGCAGCUGGUCUAGCCUCCUGGAGGAGAAGCAGUUUUGUGGAGAAGAUUCCAGGCAUCCCUGCCAACAAGCACCAACUCCAGAUAUAUGAGGAAGAGUAGUUUACAACUGACACUGUUUGGAAUUGCUGGCACAUGGUGAUAAUCAAAGAAAAAGUUAUCCAACCCCUGGCCUCUGAAAAAGGAUUAAGAAAGAGGAUUGAACUCCACAUUCAUCCUUUAAAAACUGAAACAAAAUAGCAACUGUAGAGCAGCAGCCUGUAGUGGAUGACAGAGAGCUAAGGCUCACAGGCCAUUUUGCUAAUCCUCUUAGUCCAGCCUGAGAAAUGGGCUUCUUGCCUUCUCCAGCUUUGUGUUUCUGAGGAUGAAGCAGGCCUGAGAUUCUACUUGAGUUUAAACAAGUGAUGACAUCAUCAAGAACAAUUUUAGCAACACUAUAAUGGGAACAGAAACUGGAUUUAAAAAAGAAAAAUGGUAGAGGUGAUGGAUAUUCCAAAUGCCCUGAUUUGAUCAUUAUAUAUUGCAUACAGGUAUCAAAAUAUCACAUAUACCCCCCCAAUAUGUACAACUAUUGUAUAUGAAUACAAAAUAAAUAGAAAUAAAACUCAGAUUGGGAAAAAAAGUAACCAGGUUGAGAAAUGAAUGAAAACUAAUGAAGCUGUGGCUGAGAAUAUAAAUUAUUUUUUCAAACAAUACAGGUAAAGGAAAAUAAGAAAAAACUGUGACAGCUCAAAGGGAAACAAGAAAUGAAGACAUUGUUUUGGAGGUCGGAGAUACUUGAAUAUGUUUGUUGGUUGGAAAGAAUGAGUGGUUAAAGAGAGAAAGAUUCAAACUACAAAAAGAAGUUCUUGAAAAUCAAGUUUUUAGACCAUAGAGAAGGAUAGAAAGCUUGAGUGUAGAUGGAAGCGUCAGCCUUGGAAAGCAGAAGAGACAAGGCUUCGCCUGAGCUGGAAGAGAUAAAUAUAUGGGCAAAUGCAGUGGGGUGAACAGGAGGGACUUUGAUGUAUUCUUGCAUAACAAUACAACCUUGGCAUCAGAAGCAAGGCUUCUGCCAAGCAUGAGGAGGUGAGACUGUGGAAGGGAAGGGAGAUUGCCAGGAGUGGUGAUGGGCAUGCAAUGUGGUAAUGGGAAAGUGAGGGACUAAGUGAAAGGAAAGGGGCCAUAGAGGAUGAGAAGCAUAUGAUUUUACUAUUCCAAACAGGAUAACCUUGUCAUUUUCUUCAGAGAUGCCAGGCAGGCAAAAGAAAAAAAAAGGAAG